GUAAUACACAAACAUACUGAGUGCUGAAAAUGAUUAAAAGCAGGUUGCUCUGAAUAUGCUCAGCCAAUCAAGGAAUUUUCUUGCAUUUAUUCAUUUAGCAAAAGCUUUUCUCCAAAGCAUCAGCUUUCUUAAAAUGUGCAGAUGACACUUUACAGUUGCACCAGUUAUUCGGAAUUUAUUUAUGGUUGUUUUAAUACACUGGGAUUAUUUUUAUAUAGUGCAACUUCAACUGAUCCUAAAAAGUAGUUACAGUAUGACAGUUUAAAAUGGCUAAAGCUGGUUUUCCUAAAGUUGUGUAAGCAUACAGUCUGUAAAUUAAAAAGGAUUUUAAAAAGUGUAGAAAAUUUGGCAACGUUUCAAAGGUGCAAUGUGCCAGAAUUACAUGGUUGCAUAACUGUUUACUGCCUGAUUUUGGGCUGUUUUUUUAUUGGUCAGAAAAUAGUGUAGACAACAUUAAGGAACAGCAACUGUGAGGUCACUGCAAUAUGCAAAUGAGGAUGGGCAUUAAAAGCAGAGCUCGGGGAGCUUUAUAGCCUGUCAAGGGAUUGUGAACAGCACAGAAAGACAACGCAAAAAAGUGUAAUAAAAACUUUCUCUGAGAAGACAGCAGACACAAGGGUUCAAUCAGGAAUCAGAAUUCUCGUUUCAGUCUUGAGCCCUGGAAAGGAUAUCAUCAUAUACUAUAACUUCAGCUUGACUUCGCACCGGAAAACAUUCAUCAGAUCCUGCCCAGCCUCUCGGGCAAUCCUGCCG